GUACGGGGGGGGCAAGCGUUGUUCGGAAUUACUGGGCGUAAAGGGCGCGUAGGCGGUGCUCUAAGUCGGAUGUGAAAACUCUGGGCUCAACCCAGAGCCUGCAUCCGAAACUGGAGUGCUAGAGUUCUGGAGGGGGUAGCGGAAUUCCUGGUGUAGCGGUGAAAUGCGUAGAUAUCAGGAGGAACACCGGUGGCGAAGGCGGCUACCUGGACAGAAACUGACGCUGAGGCGCGAAAGCUAGGGGAGCAAACAGG
rnacentral:rRNA from 1 species